rnacentral:rRNA from 1 species
GACAGAGGGUGCAAACGUUGUUCGGAAUUACUGGGCGUAAAGCGCGUGUAGGCGGUCGGGCAAGUCGGAUGUGAAAGCCCAGGGCUCAACCCUGGAAGUGCAUUCGAUACUGCUCGGCUAGAGUCCCGGAGAGGAUGGUGGAACUCUCGGUGUAGAGGUGAAAUUCGUAGAUAUCGAGAAGAACACCGGUGGCGAAGGCGGCCAUCUGGACGGUGACUGACGCUGAGACGCGAAAGCGUGGGGAG